rnacentral:rRNA from 1 species
AAAGCGGUACGCGAGCUGGGUUUAGAACGUCGUGAGACAGUUCGGUCCCUAUCCGCUGUGCGCGCAGGAGUCUUGAGAAGGGCUGUCCCUAGUACGAGAGGACCGGGACGGACGAACCUCUGGUGUGCCAGUUGUCCUGCCAAGGGCAUGGCUGGUUGGCUACGUUCGGGAGGGAUAACCGCUGAAAGCAUCUAAGCGGGAAGCCUGCUUCGAGAUGAGGACUCCCACCCACUUGAUGGGGUAAGGCUCCCAGCAGACGACUGGGUUGAUAGGCCGGAUCUGGAAGCACGGUAACGUGUGGAGGUGACCGGUACUAAUAGGCCGAGGGCUUGUCCUCAGCUG